UACGUAGGGACCGAGCGUUGUCCGGAUUCAUUGGGCGUAAAGAGCUCGUAGGCGGCCACUCAAGUCGAAUGUGAAACCUCGAGGCUUAACCUCGAGCCUGCAUUCGAUACUGGGCGGCUAGAGUCUGGUAGGGGGAUCUGGAAUUCCUGGUGUAGCGGUGGAAUGCGCAGAUAUCAGGAGGAACACCGGUGGCGAAGGCGGGAUCCUGGGCCAGUACUGACGCUGAGGUGCGAAAGCGUGGGGAGCAAACAGG
rnacentral:rRNA from 1 species